rnacentral:lncRNA from 1 species
AUGGUGAAGGCUGAGGUGGAUGACUUGCCCAUAUGGUACCUGGACAUUAGGGCUGCCACCAACUCUGGCAAAGUGCGUGUUGCUGCCAUCACCAACACCUUCACUGACCUCAACUCCAAGGUCUACAUGUUCCAGUAAUGAUACUACUGACAGCAAGUUCCACAGCAUAGUCAUGGCUGGGAAUAGGAAACUAGUCACUGGCAGGAAGGUCACCUCCAGCUUCGGGAACAAGAGCCUGCCAACACCAAAUGAAGUGAUGGUGUCUUGUGGAGUCUACUAGUGUCUUCACCACCAUGGAGAAGGCCAGAUCCAGUUGAAAGGCAGAGCUAAAACAGCCACCAUCCCUACCCCUUCUACUGAUGUUCCCAUGUUUAUGAUGGGUAUGAAUAAGGAGUAUGACAACUCGCUCAAGAUUGUCAGCAAUGCAUCCUGACCCACCAACUCCAUAGCCCCUGGACAAGGUCAUCCAUGACAAUUUUGGCAUUUUGGAAAGACUUAUGACCACAGUCCAUGCCAUCCCUGCCACCAGAAGACUGUGGUAAAGCUGUGGUGUAAUGGCUGUAGGGCUUCUCAGAAUAUCAUCCCCACAUCCACUAGUGCUGACAAGGCUGCAAGGUCAUCCCACAGCUGAACAGGAAGCUCCCGGCAUGGCCUUCCAUGUCCCUACCCCCAAUGUGUCCAUCAGGGAUCUGACAAGCUGCCUGGAGAAAGUGGCCAAUGAUGAUGACGUCAAGGUGGUGAAGCAGGCAUUGGAAGACCCACUAAAAGGCCUCCUGGCUAUAUGAAGGCCAGGUUAUCUCCUGAUACUUUAAUAGUGGCAGCCACUCUUCCGCCUUUGAAGAGGGCCUGGCAUUACUCCCAAUGACAACUCUGUUAAGCUUGUUUCUUGGUAUGACAAUAAAUAUAGCUACAGCAAUGGAUGGUAGGCCUCAUGACCUACAAGACCUCCAAGGAGGGA